GCCUUCGGGGUGUAACUGGAUAGCACGUCCAGCUAGCAAUCGGGAGGUCCGGAUUCAAAUCCCGGCGAUGGAA
rnacentral:tRNA from 1 species